CAGUCGUCGCUCGUAUCGCACGUUUCUGUUAGAAUAAUUCAGUCGCGCUUAAAAGUAUUGCUUUAAAGUUAUGCACUUUAAUUUAACAUCUUUUAUUGAAACGGAAUUCAAAUGUUGAACUAUUUAAAGGAAAUAUUUAAGGAAAAUGGAAUAACUCGUUACCCAUUGUACGAGAGGGACGACAAUGUUUUUCAAAGAACUGCCGACGCGUUUAGACGCGGGAAGUAGCAAUAAUCUCAAUGACUGAAGACAGAAAAGUCGACGGGCCUCGAUAAUGGCUAAUGAGACCGACCUGUAUUGUGUGCCGGGAGCGACGAGUUUCAAUAAAGUGUACAGCCGUCUUCACGGCUACAUCGCCAUCGUAAUAUGCAUAGUCGGUUCUGCGACGAACUCCAUAAACAUCACCGUUUUGAGCCGACGGGAGAUGUCCAGCGCCACCAACUCCAUCCUCACGGGUCUAGCCGUGGCAGACCUCUUAGUGAUGCUGGAAUACAUACCGUAUGUGUUGCACAUGAAUAUCAAAAUCGGGCCGCAAGUAAAUAAAAAUACUUAUGCGUGGACCGUUUUUGUUUAUUUUCAUUCCAUAUUCAGUCAGACUUUUCACACGAUUUCCAUCUGGCUGGCCGUUACUCUUGCCGUGUGGCGAUAUAUUGCGAUCGCGUACCCCCACAGGAACAGAACGUGGUGCAGCAAGCGAAAUACGUCCAUCGCCAUAGUGAGUGCCUAUGUGAUCUGUCCCUUUCUAUGUUUACCUAUUUAUUUCGCAAUGCAUAUAGUGUCGAGCGAAGUGACCGCGAAAAACAAUUCCCAGUUCGCGGAGGAUUUGUCGUUACCGCAAAACCGGACCGUUUACGUUUUAGAAAUGUCUAAGAAUAAAGAACUGGUGAUGGCCAUUAUGUGGAUCUACAGUGUCGUACUAAAACUCGUUCCCUGUAUAGCGUUAUCGGUACUGAGUACGUGUCUGAUAUCGAAAUUAACGACGACAGACAGAAGGAGACAGAAAUUACUGAAGCGCUCGAGCGUAGGGCCCAACGAGGCAGAAAAACAGUUUUUAUCAGAAGAAUCGAGUGCAGGGCGGCGUUCGAGUCGAACAGACAGGACGACUAGAAUGCUGCUUGCGGUCCUAGGGCUGUUUCUCUCGACGGAAGUGCCGCAGGGUUUAUUAGGGCUAGUCAGUGCUUUAGCGCCUGACUUCUUCAAAAGUUGUUAUAGCAUGUUUGGUGACCUAAUGGACGUCCUCGCUUUGUUCACAUCAUCUGUGAACUUUGUGCUGUACUGCAGCAUGAGUCGCCAGUUCAGGUGUACUUUCGCAAGACUCGUUCGACGUAUGUUGUCAACCGCCGAAGACUCUCCGAAACUAGCUGUUAAACAGGAACCAACUACGCAGGUAACCGGACCUCUUUAGCGACAAAUCCCCGCCCUCGGCAGGGUGGUGGAGGAGAGUACUAUAUAAGUUCUACAGGUGUUCACGUAGAACUUUCGUGACAGGUGACUUGGCACAUUUCUCUAUUCCUCAAUGAAAUGAAGCAUGUUUAUGCGUAAUUAGGGUAAGAGCGAAUUUAAAUUACGCGUCGAGUGAUCGUUUUGUAUUGUGUCUAUAUUAAUUAGUAAACAAUUAUCAAUUAUAUAAUAAGUUCAAGGUAAUGACACGAAAACUAAAUUUAGUCAUGUAAAAGUAGUAGUGGUAACAAUGUUAUUUUAGUGUUCUACAGUUAAUAAGUAGGGUCCAAAUCAUAUAUAUAUAUAUUUCCUAUAAGUUUCCAUUGUAAUUUUUAAUCAGUGAGAGGUCAAUUCGAACAAAUACAGCCGUAAAUAUUUUCUGAGUUAACGUUUGUAAAUUACUUACUAUUUCUAUUUUUGUAUUGAUAGAGAUACAAUUUAAUUAAAUUAUUUAAUAAAUUGUGAGGUGGUACAAUUCAA